CAAUAGCGUAUAUUAAAGUUGUUGCGGUAAAAAGCUCGUAGUUGGAUUUCUGUUGGGGAUGACCGGUCCGUACCACGUACGCGCAUCUGGCUCAGCCACGACAUCCUCACGAUGCACGAUUCUGCGCUUGAUUGCGUGGUUCGUAUCUCGUGACUUUUACUUUGAGGAAAUUAGAGUGUUCACGGCAGGCUAUCGCCCGAAUACAUUAGCAUGGAAUAAUACUAUAGGAUCUCGGUUCUAUUUUGUUGGUUUCUAGCACCGAGGUAAUGAUUAAUAGGGACAAACGGGGGCAUUCGUAUCAACACGUCAGAGGUGGAAUUCUUGGAUUGUGUUGCGACGAACUACUGCGAAAGCAUCUGCCAUGCAUGUUUUCAUUGAUCAAGAACGAAAGUAAGGGGAUCGAAGACGAUUAGAUACCAU
rnacentral:rRNA from 1 species